rnacentral:lncRNA from 1 species
AGGGAGAGCUGGGUUCCCUACUCUCCCUUCACUGCACUGACCAUAGGGCUCCACGUGCCUCCCUAUCCUUACCCUCCCUCCCCCUUCACCUCCCUCCUGUUGCAGCAGCAAUGGUGGUUACCAUAGUGAUGGUGAAGGAUCAGGCUGCUCAUUUUAAAUUACCCCCUUAAACCAGCAGGAGUAAAGUUUGCAUGCUGGGUAAGAAGCACUUGACUUUGGGACAGAUAAUAAGGGUCGAAUUAUGGCUUCACCACCAUCUUUCUUAAGAACAACAACACAGGACUUGAGUAGACCAGGAAAGUCUCCAAAAGAUACUUUUCAUUUGAGGUAAUGUUUUUGUUUCUAGUGAAAGGCCAAACCUACUCUAUCUUGGGACCGGCCUCCAACAUAAAGAUAAAAAAGCCUGAGAACUUGACCUGCAGCAGAACCCAAGCUGCAUCCAAGUACCAGGAAGGACCCCAUGGUUUGUCCUUGGCCAGAGUUACUUUCUAGCAACAGUUAAUCAAAGAUUAGUCUGAUUUUUUCAGACGUACUUUCAGACCCUUUGGGAUUGUUCAUGAUCUUGCUUCAGAGCACCCACCUGUCAGCUUACAAUAGACAUUCAGUUAGAUAUUUGUUAGGCUGGACGCCCCCUCACUUACUCCCAUUCCUUAUAAAACCUUGUCCUGCUGAGGGUUUGAGUCUGCUCUGGCCGGGUGUGGUGGCGCACGCUGCUCUGCCUUCCUUUCUGGUCCUGCUUUGUCAGGGUUGGGUUGGAGGAGAGCCCAAAUCCAAACUUGAAAUAAAGAGACCCAACAGAAACAGCUCCUUGGUGGCCAUUUGGGGUUCAUGAACUCUUCCUGGCACAACAUUUUGGUGCAUUGGCCUGGAACUCCAAGGCCACCAGGACCCAACCCUGGAGAAUCUCGGCACUGGUUAUCUCUGAGUCUGUGAGUCUAUCCAUGUGUGCUUGUGUGAUACUGUAAUAAUCCUGUUCUGAAUAAUUCUGUAAUUCUGUUCUGAAGAGGCCUAAAAAGCUGUAUUACCUGGCAAGAAACAGCAAAAGAGGAUGUAGAAUCCGGCUGCGGUGGUCACCCUGGUACAUCCUAGCCAAGGGGGCUUAGGCGUCGUUCCAAAGAUUCUGGGGUACAGAGUGCCCCUGGUGUUAAUGUCAGUGAAGGACAGAGCGGAAGUGUCCUGUUUGUUUUAGCUGCUGUAUAGUUGUCUGUUCUGUGUGUGUCACUUUAAGGAAUGUUGAGGGACUGACGCUGUAGCGAUUUGAAGACCCACCCAGCCUCUCGGCUUAACUCUUUCUUUUCCAGACCGAUUCGCUACUUUAGGGAGCCUGAGAGUCCCGGGCCUAGGUGCUGGUGUCCCGCAGCUGCGGCGGGAAGUCGCGCGGGGCUGAGCCCACCUCGGGCGGAAGGCCGUGGGGCCUCGCCGGGGCGGGGGCCCAGUCACUCCGCUGGGGAGCCUACCGGCCACCGCGGCGCCCUGGGCAGCGGGGAAAACCUGGGACCCGAGUGGCACCGCUCCGCUUUGCGCAGGCAGAGGAGAGGAGCCCAGUUACUCGGCGCCAGCCAACAAGAUGCUGUGGUGCGCCCGGGCUCCUCGGGGAUUCAAACCCCAGUGUGGGGCUCUCCCUGCAGGCGGCGGGGCACAAAGAAUCUGACCCGACCCCUCGAUUAGCCGCGGCUCACCCAGGCGCGUUUCUCUCCCCUUCCGCCGAGCGGCGCACACAAGGGUCCACGGCCCCUAGAAUGGUCUAAGACUCCCGCGGCCCUAACCUAGAUCUCCAUAAGUGAGGACAUGAGUUCCCAAAGAGCAGAGCUUCAAGCUUGGACAAAAGCAGGAGAGGCCGAUGUCUCCCUUUACCAGAUCGUAGAAUGGCCUCCUGGUCACUCAUUUUGCUCAGUAAAUGGCUACCCUUCCUGCCAGAAGUGCUCGCUCCCGAUCUGAACUGAUGUAGUCUAAGUUGUAAAGAGAGUGGACACCAUCCUGCCACACUCAGCCCACUGAGAAGAACAACCACCGGGGCAGUCACCUUCCCAGAGCUACAAUAAGACAAUAUACUAUGUUAAGAUGGCAGGCAACCCAGGAGGGCUUCAGACUAAAUUUUUCCAGCCUCUGCCUCUCCAUGCCCUCUGCCCAAAGAUUAAAAUAAAGAUAAGAUUGGCCUUC